rnacentral:rRNA from 1 species
AAUGAACGCUGGCGGCGUGCCUAACACAUGCAAGUCGGAUGUGCCGCAAGGUGCAUGGCAGACGGGUGAGUAACGCGUAGGGAAUCUACCUUUUUGUGGGGAAUAACGCUCCGAAAGGAGUGGUAAUACCGCAUGAGACCGUGAGCUGGGAUGUUCACGGUGAAACCUGGGGACCGCAAGGCCUGGGGCAAAGAGAGGAUCCUGCGUCUGAUUAGCUAGUUGGCGGGGUAAUGGCCCACCAAGGCGACGAUCAGUAGCCGGCCUGAGAGGGUGAUCGGCCACACUGGAACUGAGACACGGUCCAGACUCCUACGGGAGGCAGCAGUGGGGAAUUUUGCGCAAUGGACGAAAGUCUGACGCAGCAACGCCGCGUGGGUGAUGAAGGUCUUCGGACUGUAAAACCCUGUCGUCAGGGACGAAGGUGGCAGUGUUAAUAGCGCUGUUACUUGACGGUACCUGGAGAGGAAGCCCCGGCUAACUCUGUG